rnacentral:lncRNA from 1 species
GUCAAGGGUGUGUGUGGCCAAAGGAGUGGUUCUGUGAAUGUAUGGGAGAAAGGGAGACCGACCACCAGGAAGCACUGGUGAGGCAGGACCCGGGAGGAUGGGAGGCUGCAGCCCGAAUGGUGCCUGAAAUAGUUUCAGGGGAAAUGCUUGGUUCCCGAAUCGGAUCGCCGUAUUCGCUGGAUCCCCUGAUCCGCUGGUCUCUAGGUCCCGGAUGCUGCAAUUCUUACAACAGGACUUGGCAUAGGGUUGCCUGCGGACACGCUGGGCCUCUGUCCUGAUGCUGCUGAGCUCCCUGGUGUCUCUCGCUGGUUCUGUCUACCUGGCCUGGAUCCUGUUCUUCGUGCUCUAUGAUUUCUGCAUUGUUUGUAUCACCACCUAUGCUAUCAACGUGAGCCUGAUGUGGCUCAGUUUCCGGAAGGUCCAAGAACCCCAGGGCAAGGCUAAGAGGCACUGAGCCCUCAACCCAAGCCAGGCUGACCUCAUCUGCUUUGCUUUGGCAUGUGAGCCUUGCCUAAGGGGGCAUAUCUGGGUCCCUAGAAGGCCCUAGAUGUGGGGCUUCUAGAUUACCCCCUCCUCCUGCCAUACCCGCACAUGACAAUGGACCAAAUGUGCCACACGCUCGCUCUUUUUUACACCCAGUGCCUCUGACUCUGUCCCCAUGGGCUGGUCUCCAAAGCUCUUUCCAUUGCCCAGGGAGGGAAGGUUCUGAGCAAUAAAGUUUCUUAGAUCAAUCAGCCAAGUCUGAA